rnacentral:rRNA from 1 species
AUGGGUAUUCUGCAUGGCUUUGGGGAUGCAACUGGUCUCAAGAUUAACCUCGCUAAAUCAUCUGUGACGCACAUUCGUUGCGAGGACAUCAAUAUGGCCGAGGUUUUGCAGAGCUUUGGGGGACAAAUGAAGUCCUUCUCGAUAACAUACCUGGGGCUACCGAUUAUACCGGCAAGGCUCAGGCUUGUGCACCUUCAAUUCGUCCUUGAUCGCAUCCGAGCUCGGCUGGUGGGGUGGAAGACGAAGCUGCUAACCAUUGCCGGACGUCGAGUGCUAGUCCGUGCGGUCCUCACCUCGCGGCCGACCUUCACCCUCACCGCGCUGCGGGUGCCGAAGAAGCUUCUAAAAGAGAUUGACAAAUCCAGAGGAAAGUUCCUUUGGGCGCACAAUGAGAUGAUCACAGGGGCAAAUGCAAAGUUAAUUGGGCAAAGGGCCAUGUUCACAGCUGCAACUUCUAUCUCAUUAGGUAAUGGAGAAAAGGCAGGGUUCUGGACCUGCUCAUGGGCCAAUGGGCAGCCUCUUAGGGAUGUUUUCCCCAGGCUUUUCAAGCACUCAAGGCGGAAAUCGAGAUCGGUUAGAGCCGCUCUGGUCGACGACUCCUGGAUCAGAGACUUGGCGCACAGGGACACCGCCCCUCUGCUGCAAGACGUGCUGUCCAUGGCGAGGAUGAUUGCCAGUCUACUCUGCUACCUCGGCCUACUAGGCGCAAUUCCAGGGGACGCAGCGAUCAUGUUUCAAAAGCUUGAUUUGGGAUGCCUGAGCUCCGGGGAAGUCAAAAGUGUUUGCCUGGCUGGUGCAUCUCAACAGGUUCACCUCUUCUGGCACUGCCCGAUCACAAAGGAGGUCUGGGAAAAGGUGGCGACAUGGUCAGGAUGCCGGGCUGUGAGGCCAAGUGUAUGGAGCUGCCUGAAUAUGGUGACUCAAAUCGUUGAAGCAAUUGCCGCCACUCCAGGGGAAGGCCGGAAGGGGAUCAAGUCCAUCAUCAUCUUGGUGCUCUAG